GCAGCACGGACUUCGGUCUGGUGGCGAGUGGCGAACGGGUGAGUAAUGUAUCGGAACGUGCCUAGUAGCGGGGGAUAACUACCCGAAAGCGUGGCUAAUACCGCAUACGCCCUACGGGGGAAAGCAGGGGAUCGCAAGACCUUGCACUAUUAGAGCGGCCGAUAUCGGAUUAGCUAGUUGGUGGGGUAAUGGCUCACCAAGGCGACGAUCCGUAGCUGGUUUGAGAGGACGACCAGCCACACUGGGACUGAGACACGGCCCAGACUCCUACGGGAGGCAGCAGUGGGGAAUUUUGGACAAUGGGGGAAACCCUGAUCCAGCCAUCCCGCGUGUGCGAUGAAGGCCUUCGGGUUGUAAAGCACUUUUGGCAGGAAAGAAACGUCAUGGGUUAAUACCCUGUGAAACUGACGGUACCUGCAGAAUAAGCACCGGCUAACUACGUGCCAGCAGCCACGGUAAUACGUAUGGUGCAAGCGUUAAUCGGAAUUACUGGGCGUAAAGCGUGCGCAGGCGGUUCGGAGAGAAAGAUGUGAAAUCCCAGAGCUUAACUUUGGAACUGCAUUUUUAACUACCGGCUAGAGUGGUCAAGGGAGGU
rnacentral:rRNA from 1 species